rnacentral:misc_RNA from 1 species
UUGUUCAAGUCAUUCAAAUUUGUGUAGUGAUCAACAACGGACGAAACCAAGCGUUGUUUUGUUUUAAUCAAACCCAUCAAUAAAUAACUUAACAUGCCGCACAGCCUUACUUUAAGUGAAGAACAAAAAACAUUUUAUGAUCGCAACGGGUACAUCGUUAUAAGGGGAUUGAUCGAGUUACCUUUACUAGAGGCCUACAAGAAAAGGUUUUCGGAAUUGUGUCACAAAAGCCAGUUGAGUGCUACAAUAAUAAAGGAAUACUCUCUGGUCGGAAAAAAGCAAAACCCUGAAGACUAUAUUUAUAAGAUCCAGGACAUCCUGUUCGACCCAGUGUACAUGACAUACAGCGAACACCCAGACGUCCUGAACGUGGUGUCGCAGCUUAUCGGAGACCAGCUCACCGCUGUCAACCUGAUGCUCAUCAACAAGCCACCGGAGACCACGAGACAUCCUACUCAUCAAGAUCUGUUCUACUUCCCGUUCCGUCCUGCGGAGAAGAUUAUAGGCGUGUGGACAGCGGUGGACGCGGCCACCGUGCAAAACGGAUGCCUGUUCGUGGUACCAGGCUCUCAUAAAUGCAACCAGCUGCUUAAACAUGGAACAUUUAAAGAUUCAAAGAAGUUCUUCCAUUGCCUUGAAGACGAGGACAACUUGGCCCCGGCGCAGAAGCGAAUGAAUCUCGAGAUGCAGCCCGGGGAUACCGUGUUCUUCCACCCUUACUUGUUCCAUGGGUCAGGUCCUAAUUUGUCUGAAAGUUACCGCAAGGCGUUGACGAUCCAUUACGCGCACAACGCCUGCUACUACAUAGACCUGCGCGGCACCGUGCAGGAACAGCUGGCGGCCGACUUCGACGAGGAGAUGAGAAGACGAGGACACGAGAGCGUGACAUUUGUGGAUCUCUGGAAGUUAAAAAGCAAAGAUCUCGGGAAAAUAAAAAGCCAUUUAUAAGGAUAAAGUUGUAAAAGAUUAUUGCGCGCAUAAAGAAAUGUAUUGAACAAAAUUAAAACGUUUCAUACUGCCACACAGACGCGCCGGAAGACUUUAUUUAUAAUAAGUUAUGAUGUACUUAAUAGGGUGAUUUGAAUGAUUUCUUUUUCAAUAAAGCAAUGUCCCACUGUGGUCCUA